CCAGACGAACGCGGGCGGCGUGCCUUAUACAUGCAAGUCGAACGAGUCUUCUUAAGUAGCUUGCUACUUGAGUUGGCUAGUGGCGGACGGGUGAGUAACACGUAGGCAACCUGCCCUCAAGAUCGGGAUAACAUUCGGAAACGAAUGCUAAGACCGGAUAAGCAAUACUCUCGCAUGGGAGGAUUGGGAAACACGGUGCAAGCUGUGGCUUGAGGAUGGGCCUGCGGCGCAUUAGCUAGUUGGUGGGGUAACGGCUCACCAAGGCGACGAUGCGUAGCCGACCUGAGAGGGUGAACGGCCACACUGGGACUGAGACACGGCCCAGACUCCUACGGGAGGCAGCAGUAGGGAAUCUUCCACAAUGGGCGAAAGCCUGAUGGAGCAACGCCGCGUGAGUGAGGAAGGCUUUCGGGUCGUAAAGCUCUGUUGCCAGGGAAGAAUAAGGGCGUGUUAACUGCACGUUCGAUGACGGUACCUGAGAAGAAAGCCCCGGCUAACUACGUGCCAGCAGCCGCGGUAAUACGUAGGGGGCAAGCGUUGUCCGGAAUUAUUGGGCGUAAAGCGCGCGCAGGCGGCUCUUUAAGUCUGGUGUCUAAGUGCGGGGCUCAACCCCGUGAUGCACUGGAAACUGGGGAGCUUGAGUGCAGAAGAGGAGAGCGGAAUUCCACGUGUAGCGGUGAAAUGCGUAGAGAUGUGGAGGAACACCAGUGGCGAAGGCGGCUCUCUGGCCUGUAACUGACGCUGAGGCGCGAAAGCGUGGGGAGCAAACAGGAUUAGAUACCCUGGUAGUCCACGCCGUAAACGAUGAGUGCUAGGUGUUGGGGGUAUCAUGCCCUCGGUGCCGAAGUUAACACAUUAAGCACUCCGCCUGGAGACGUCGCCGUU
rnacentral:rRNA from 2 species